rnacentral:lncRNA from 1 species
GGGCCAGGCCGAGGGAAGGCUCCGGCGCCGCCGGGGCUGCGGGAGGACUCAGCUCAAGAAGCACGGAGGUGGGAAUAGGAGCCGCGGGGGUUGUGGCGGCGCCGACGUGUCCCGCCUCCGCCUCCCGCCGCCCAGCGGAGCCCCCGGAGAACGAGCCUCCGGCGGCCACUGCUUCUUCCCCACCUCUAAAAAAAUUCAAAGGUGGAGGGGUGACGUCAUCAACACAGCGACGGAAGCGGUACCGUGAAAAAACCACCCCAGAUACUCUGGAGAAUGGUAGAGAUUGGAGAAGAACUCCACAAAUGUUGAACUGAAGAAAGAGAAAAAUAUCAGGUAGGAAACUAACACCUACAAGUCCUUUUCCCUUCCCUCUCAAAUGGUCCUGUGCAAAACUUGGGAGUUCUCCAGAGGCAGCAAACCGCCAGAAUCCCUCUCACCAGGGAAGCAGAUUUUAGAGGAACUCACAGCAGUGAGUCAGAACUCCAUGCAUAUCCAGGUACAGAGACAGAAGCCCACAG